GGAAUUUUGGGAUGUGGAGAUAUGGAAGCUGUGGUUUCCAGGUCAGGAUGCAGCCCCAUUAUGGCUAUACUCUCACAAUGGUGCUUUAUUUCAGAUGCUUAGGUCUUGGGAGUGUAAAUGCCCUAGCACGUGUUGCCUGUCUGGUACAAUACUCUCUUGGGAAUUUCAAAUCACUACCCAUGCUAGUGUCAGGGACUGUGUGGGCAGUGGAGCUCUCUCAUGGUUCUGAUUACAGCAGCCCAGAGCAGGGAAGUGGAACACUGAAGUUCUCUCGCUUACCCUUUCCCCGUAAUAGUGAAUCCCUCAAGGCUCUCAGACUAUCGUGGGGCCUACUGUGGAACUUGAGCAUCCACGGACUUUGGUAGACGGGGUGGUCCUGGAACCAGUGCCCCAGAGGUACCCCAGGAUGGCUGUCCUGCAGCUUUCAACUCCUCAUGGGAGGGAGCAUGCAAGUGAACGAGGUGGGAACUGGAAUGCAUGAACUCUGGAAACAACCACCCACUUCGGAGCUGACAGGAGCAAACUUCAAUCACUCAGACUUCCUGCGCUUCAUCCAUCAUGAGAGGGAGCACACAGUGUCCCCAUCUGUCCCAUGCAGAUCCUACAUUACAGCUGCAGCCUCAUGGCUACCUCUUAAUUAACUGCCUCUGUGACUAAUAUUCAGAAAAACAAUCAGUUGUCAGCAGACCUGCAUGAUAAGCCAUACUAGAAAAGCCCUUCCCACUGGAAGAGAAUUAUUCCAAGUGAAAAUUCAGAUUUACAGGAAGAAGAAAGGCAAAAAUAAUAAAUACGCAGAAAUCUGCAGAAACUUGGAAACC
rnacentral:lncRNA from 1 species